AUUGGUGCUGUAUGACAACGGCAGUCAUAAGAUUUAAUCUUCUGAGGAAAACUUCAAGAAAAGAGAUCGGUUUUCUCUCUGGGCUAAGUCCUAGCUGGCGCUUGUCUCCUGGCUCAGGUGGAAGACCCUGAGGACAAACCAUGGGAACGGAAGCUACCCCCUCAAGCAUAAGGACUGCCCUGAGCCGGCAAGACAUCACCCACGAUUGACUCCAAGAGAGUGGUCCAUUCGACCUGCACUACCCACCCAUCUUUGCCCCACAUUUUCCUUAUGUAAAUCUGGAAGUACUUUCCGCACUCUGGAGAGUCUUUGACGGCCCAUGCUGUCUUCCCAGUGUGGGCAUCACUGAAAUAAAUUCCUUCCUUGUUUCCCACCA